AUCUAUCUUCGGGGCAGGGUGAAAUUCCCGAUCGGCGGUAUUGAGUAGUUAAUACUCUAAGCCCGCGAGCCUUUUUAGGCAGGAUUUGGUGUGAUUCCAAAGCCGACAGUAUAGUCUGGAUGGGAGAAGAUGGAG
rnacentral:ncRNA from 2 species